GCACUUUUUUUCUCGAUAUUUGCGCCCUAUAUUGGGGGUGCCGGUUCGCCGGCUAUGGAAAUAAAUUGCCGUCGCAAUAAACCAUUCGGACCCGGGGGCAGUACCCGGCGCCUCCACCCAAGCCCGUCAGUUGGGCAUGAUCUUAUUCGGAAAACCGGUAUCCACUUUUCCGGAUCAUGCCAGCGGGUUUCGGCGGGGGCGAACCAGGAUCGACGAGGGCGUAAAGGGCGUGUUUUUUCCCGGUAUGGUUCCGCCGUUAUCGGGCUACGCAAUAGUUGCAAACGACAACUAUGCUCCGGUUGCUCAGGCUGCGUAACGCAGUUUG
rnacentral:tmRNA from 2 species